rnacentral:lncRNA from 1 species
CUUCCUGGGUGCGUUUGUGUCUCUUGUGAACCCACUUGUGGAGCGAGAGGGAAUUUGGGAGGGCCAGGGGUUAGUCUGGCCUCUGUCUUAGCUGUCAUUUUGGCGGUUUUUUUUUUUUUUCUUCAGGGGAUUUCAGUCUCCACAUAGUUUUGGAGCCGGACUUUUGAAGAAUGAUUCGUGAAUCCGGAAUGGGUGACAGCGUCAUCACGGCAUUUUAUUGACAGACCAUGGAUUCUUACAGUGCACCAGAGUCAACUCCUAGUGCAUCCUCAAGACCUGAAGAUUACUUUAUAGGUGCCACUCCUCUGCAGAAACGAUUAGAAUCGGUCAGGAAGCAGAGUUCAUUUAUCCUGACUCCACCUCGAAGGAAAAUUCCCCAGUGUUCGCAGUUGCAGGUAUGCUUUUUG